GACGAACGCUGGCGGCGUGCUUAACACAUGCAAGUCGAACGCAGUGGCGAACGGGUGAGUAACGCGUAAUCAACCUGCCCUUCAGCGGGGGAUAACAGUUGGAAACGUGUGCUCAUACCGCAUACUAAAGGAGGGGAUUCGGUGGGAUUCGGUAGUUGGCGGGGUAACGGCCCACCAAGGCGAUGUUCAGUAGCCGGUCGGAGGAGAUGAACGGCCACAUUGGGACUGAGACACGGCCCAGACUCCUACGGGAGGCAGCAGUGGGGAAUCUUCCGCAAUGGACGAAAGUCUGACGGAGCAACGCCGCGUGAGUGGUGACGGCCUUCGGGUUGUAAAGCUCUGUUAAUCGGGACGCGGUACCGGAAUAGAAAGCCACGGCUAACUACGUGCCAGCAGCCGCGGUAAUUC
rnacentral:rRNA from 1 species